rnacentral:rRNA from 1 species
UACGAAGGGGGCUAGCGUUGCUCGGAAUCACUGGGCGUAAAGGGUGCGUAGGCGGAUUGUUAAGUCAGGGGUGAAAUCCUGGAGCUCAACUCCAGAACUGCCUUUGAUACUGGCGAUCUCGAGUCCGGGAGAGGUGAGUGGAACUGCGAGUGUAGAGGUGAAAUUCGUAGAUAUUCGCAAGAACACCAGUGGCGAAGGCGGCUCACUGGCCCGGUACUGACGCUGAGGUGCGAAAGCGUGGGGAGCAAACAGG